rnacentral:rRNA from 1 species
CCGGGGGUAGGAGUAAUGUCUGGGAAACUGCCUGAUGGAGGGGGGUAACUAGCGGAAACGGUAGCUAAUACCGCAUAGUCGCAAGACCAAAGAGGGGGACCUUCGGGCCUCUUGCCAUCGGAUGUGCCCAGAUGGGAUUAGCUAGUAGGUGGGGUAACGGCUCACCUAGGCGACGAUCCCUAGCUGGUCUGAGAGGAUGACCAGCCACACUGGAACUGAGACACGGUCCAG